rnacentral:rRNA from 1 species
GAUGAACGCUGGCGGCGUGCCUAAUACAUGCAAGUCGAGCGAAUGGAUUAAGAGCUUGCUCUUAUGAAGUUAGCGGCGGACGGGUGAGUAACACGUGGGUAACCUGCCCAUAAGACUGGGAUAACUCCGGGAAACCGGGGCUAAUACCGGAUAACAUUUUGAACCGCAUGGUUCGAAAUUGAAAGGCGGCUUCGGCUGUCACUUAUGGAUGGACCCGCGUCGCAUUAGCUAGUUGGUGAGGUAACGGCUCACCAAGGCAACGAUGCGUAGCCGACCUGGGAGGGUGAGCGGCCACACUGGGACUGAGACACGGCCCAGACUCCUACGGGAGGCAGCAGUAGGGAAUCUUCCGCAAUGGACGAAGGUCUGACGGAGCAACGCCGCGUGGGUGAUGAAGGCUUUCGGGUCGUAAAACUCUGUUGUUAGGGAAGAACAAGUGCUAGUUGAAUAAGCUGGCACCUUGACGGUACCUAACCAGAAAGCCACGGCUAACUACGUGCCAGCCGCCGCUGUAA